rnacentral:snoRNA from 1 species
GCCAAAUGAUGUAAAAUAGAUUGCAGUAGCACUAUGUGCAAAGAUGACUUACAUCUAUCACCCAAUACUGAUGGCU